UACGGAGGGGGCUAGCGUUGUUCGGAAUUACUGGGCGUAAAGCGCGCGUAGGCGGACCUGCAAGUCGGGGGUGAAAGCCCGAGGCUCAACCUCGGAACUGCCUUCGAUACUGCGGGUCUCGAGCCCGGGAGAGGUGAGUGGAAUUCCUAGUGUAGAGGUGAAAUUCGUAGAUAUUAGGAAGAACAGCCAGUGGACGAAGGCGGCUCACUGGCCCGGGUACUGACGCUGAGGCGCGAAAGGCGUGGGGAGCAAACAGG
rnacentral:rRNA from 1 species